ACACAGUGCAUGUGGUGGG
rnacentral:siRNA from 1 species